GGUGGCGGCAAAGGCCCUGAUUUCUCUCCAGCAUCAUUUGACCUGUCCAGCUUCAUUGGAGGAAUCAUCCUAGUGUUGGUGUUGCAGGCUGGGGCUUUUUUUGCCAUGCGGUUCCUCAAAACGAAAGACAGCUCUUAUGAAACUAUUGAACAACCUCAGUGAGAAAAUGAGUCAUGGACGGGAGAGAAAAUUACAGAACAAAACACAAAUCAAACCAGAUACUCAAAGGACUGGAUGUUGCAUUGGGGAGAAGUCUAUAGACACUGUUUUCUCUUUUUGCUUAUCCUAAAGCUUCAUUAGCCUGUUAAUUGCUUCACCAUUUCACCAUCACUAUUUCUUAAAUGACAAAAACUAUUUUUGUGUGUACAGAAGGGAGAAAUGUGAACAGAGAAUGAUAUAGACAUGUGGUAUGACAAAUAUACUAUGAAAUUCACAUUUGAGUCUGGCAAUGUGAUUAUCUUAUGGAGUGAGUUCAUAUCUGUUUAAGGUGAUUGAAAACUCUGGUUUGGCUCUGUUUCUGCUUGUUACUUUGAUUUUAAAGAUUGUUGAACUAUUUUAUUUAUUUAUUUUAAAUAAUUGCAUGCCCUUGUAUCUGCUUUUUAUUAAAUGCUAUGUUUUGUAGGUAGUUACCUGGACUUAUGUAGCAUUGAGAUUGAAUGUAAAAUGAAGCAAUAAAGUAAU